rnacentral:lncRNA from 1 species
UUAUCUCCAUAAUGUAACAUUACUAUUUUGUAAAAAAACAUUAUAUAUAAUUUUGAAAAUAAUAAAUAAUAUGUAUACAUACAACAUAAAAAAUGGAAAUACUAAAUUAAACAUAUGUAAGAUUACCAUUUUACAUUUAAAAAUAACAAUAAUAUGUAAACAUACAACAUAAAAAAAUGGAAAUCUACAUUAAACAUAUGUAAGAUUACCAUUUUUCACUAAAAAAACGGCUUAUCUCCAUAAUGUAACAUUACCAUUUUAUAAAAAAAAAAAAAAACAUAAAUAUAACUAUUUGACUAUUUGUCCAAAUUCUUCUAUUAAACAUUGUCGUUUUACAUUAAAAAUGAAAAAAUACAUUAAAACUUAAACAUCUAUCUUAAAAUAUAGAUAUUAACUAAGUAUAAAGUAUAAGAAAGAGAAAUACUCAAUAUAUAGAAAAAUAAAUAAUAAGUAUAUAAUAUAAAUAUAUAAAUAUACGAAUUAUAUAUACAAUAAUAAGUAAAUGCACAAUUUAAAAAAAAAUGGAAAGAAUACAUUAAAUAUUAAACAUCUAUCAUAAAAUGUAAAAUAUAGAUAUUAAGUAAAUAGAAAGUAUAAGAAAAAGAAAUACACAACUUAAAAACAAUGGAAAAAAUAUAUUAAGAUUUAAACAUCUAUCUUAAAAUGUAAAAUAUAGAUAUUACGCAAAUAGAAAGUAUAAGAAAAGGAAAUACACAAUUUAAAAAAAAUGGAAAAAGUACAUUAGUAUUUAAAUAUCUAUCUUAAAAUGUAAAUCUAUCUUAAAAUAUAAAAUUAUUAGUAAAAAGAAAGUAUAAGAAAUAGAAAUACACAAUAUAAAUAAAAAUAAUUAAUAAGUAAAUAUAUAAUAUAGGUAAAUACCCAAUUUAAAAAAUGGAAAAUUACAUUAAGAUUUAAAAAUAUAUCUUAAAAUUUAAAAUAUAGAUAUUACGUAAAUAGAAAGUAUAACAAAUAGAAAUAUACAGUUUUAAAAAAAUGAAAAACGUAAAUUAACAUUUAAACAUCUAUCUUAAAAUGUAAAAUAUAGAUAUUAAGUAAAUAAAAAGUACAGGAAAUAGAAAUACAUAUACAGGAAAAUAAAUAAUAAGUAAAUAAUGUAAAUAUAUAAUAUAUGAAUUAUAUAUAUAAUAACAAGUAAAUACACCAUUUUUAAGAAAAUGGAAAAAGUUCAUUAAACAUUAAACAUCUAUCUUAAAAUGUAAAAUAUAUAAUAUAAGUAAAUACACAAUUAAAAAAAAAUGGAAAAAGCACAUUAAGAUUUAAACAUCUAUCUUAAAAUGUACAUCUAUCUUAAAAUGGUAGUAAAUUAUAUAAAAAUGGAAAUACCACAUUAAACAAAAAAAAUGUAUAGUUUUACAUCAAGAAAGUUCCUAUAAAACUGAUUAUCCCAUCAACAUCAACCUCACACAAUCAAGGAAAACUUCAAAGCACUCGAGCAAAAAAAUGGUUCCACCAUCAAUUCUUGCGAUCCCAAAAACCUUUAAUGGCCUUGAAGGAGAUUUUUUAUAAAAACGAACUUUUUGUUAGUUGGAUUCAUUGUUGGAAAACCCGCAACUUCCAAAAGCCAAACUUAUUAAUGGGAAUUGAAUUGCUUUUCAUAGACACAAAAGUAUUCUUACAAAUUUAAAUUAAUCUAAUCCAUAAUUUUAUUGUUAAUAUUCAUACUAACUCUUUCAUGAUCAAACCAUUACAGUUAAUAACCAUUCAAGCGUUUAUCCCGAAACACUUCCUUCCUCGCCGAAUCAGGUAUUGGUUCAUGUUGGUUUAGUAUUAUUUUUGGUUUAUUAACCGGUUUAGGAUGGUCCUUUUGUAAAUAUAAUUUAAUUUGAUUUAGCAUAUCUUAUGCUUAAAAUAACUUAAAUUAAAUAAUAGUAAUAUUAUGCUUAAAAUAUAAUUUUAGAGAGUUUUCAAAUAUAGUUUACAGAACAUUAUAGGUGAUGAAUUUAAUUUAUUAAAUUCGUUUAUUACUUAAAACUAAGUUUUUUUUUAAACAUACUGAGUUAUAAAUAUCAAUGAUGGAUUGGUAAGUAUAACUUGAAGACAAAAAUAUAAAUAUUUGAUUUUCAAGAUAAGAAAUUCAGCUUUUAUCCAAUUACUCUAUAUAUAAUAUCUUAAUUUUUUUAAAAAAAUAUACAUAAUUUAUAUAUAUAGAUUAAUCUUCCAAACUUAAACUAUUAUAUUAUAUAUGAAUAAUGUUUUUAAAUAAAAAUAAUUUCUGAUUAAAAUAAAUAAAUAAAAACAACAAAUGGUUAUUUUCAAAUAAUGGAUGUAAUUUACAUUAUACUAUCAUUUAACAAGUAUUAGAUACGUUUUGAUAUAUCAUUAUUUUCUAUUUCCAGAAAACAAUAAUGUUAAACAUCAAUAUCAUCUAGGUUAAGUAUACGAACAUCACAAUUCAAACAUCACAAAAAAUUUUACAUAAACAUUAUAAUACAAUAUUUUAAUCAAAAAAUACAAUUCAAAAAAAAAAUUCAAAGAAUAGUUAUAUACUUAAUAUUUGAAAAUCAAAGAUAUUUUUGCUAAAACUAUACUUACCUGGCCAAGGAGAUCAACCAUCUUUUUACGGAUCGAUCGAUUGUUGAGCAUGUGGUGGAUCCGAAAAUACUCUGGAGUUUAAUUAAAUAUCUAAAACAUUUAUUCCAACACUCAACAGAUAGUUUUGCUAAAUAUGAUAACUAGAUAGCCAACAAAAUUACAAAAAAAAUAUUUAAAUAGUAAAAAAUAUGUUAAUUUAACGUGUUAAAAUUUAAAAAUAAAUUUAAAGUAUGGCAUGCAUUCUUAACAUUUAUAUAAAUAUACUUCGCAGCCUAAAUAUAAAUAAUUUAACAACUUAAAUUAGAAAAAAGUAAAAAUCCCGGGCGUAGCCCGGGUUAAUCCCUAGUCUAUACUAAUAAAAGGGACCUUUUGAGGCUCCAUAGAACGUCCACAUCAGCAAAAAAAACUACUUCCGAAAAAUGACACGUGGCAUAAAAUAUAGUUUUACAUUUUAAUAUUACUAAUCCUUACUAAUAAAAGGGACUUUUUGAGGAUCCAUAGAGCGUCUACAUCAGCGAAACAUAGAGCAUAAAAAAUGGAAAAACUACAUUGAACAUAUGUAAAAUUACUAUUUUUCAUGUUGAAACAAAGACGGCUUAAUUCCAUAAUGUAAUAUUACCAUUUUACAUUUUUAUUUUUAAAAAAAUAAUAUGUAAACAUACAACAUAAAAAUGGAAAAACUACAUUAAACAUAUGUAAGAUUACCAUUUUUCAGUAAAAAAGACGGUUUAUCUCCAUAAUGUAACAUUACUAUUUUGUAAAAAAAAAUAUUAUAUAUAAUUUCGAAACUAAUAAAUAAUAUGUAAACAUACAACAUAAAAAAUGGAAAUAUUACAUUAAACAUAUGUAAGAUUACCAUUUUACAUUUAAAAAUAACAAUAAAAUGUAAACAUACAACAUAAAAAAAUGGAAAAACUACAUUAAACAUAUGUAAGAUUACCAUUUUUCACUAAAAAACGGCUUAUCUCCAUAAUGUAAAAUUUUAUUUUAUAUAAAAAAAAACAUAAAUAUAACUAUUUGACUAUUUGUCCAAGUUCUUCUAUUAAACAUUGCCGUUUUACAUUAAGAUUUAAACAUCUAUCUUAAAAUAUAAAAUAUAGAUAUUAACUAAAUAUAAAGUAUAAGAAAGAGAAAUACUCAAUAUAUUGAAAAAUAAAUAAUAAUUAAAUAUUAUAAAUAUAUAAAUAUACGAAUUAUAUAUACAAUAAUAAGUAAAUGCACAAUUUUUAAAAAAUGGAAAGAGUACAUUAAAUAUUAAACAUCUAUCUUAAAAUGUAAAAUAUAGAUAUUAAGUAAAUAGAAAGUAUAAUAAAAAGAAAUACACAACUUAAAAACAAUGGAAAAAGUAUAUUACGAUUUAAACAUCUAUCAUAAAAUGUAAAAUAUAGAUAUUAUGCAAAUAGAAAGUAUAAGAAAAGGAAAUACACAAUUUAAAAAAAUGGAAAAAGUACAUUAGUAUUUAAACAUCUAUCUUAAAAUGUAAAUCUAUCUUAAAAUAUAAAAUUAUUAGUAAAUAGAAAGUAUAAGAAAUAGUAGUACACUUACUAAUAAAAGGGACCUUUUGAGGCUCCAUAGAGCGUC